GUGGAGUCCUGAACAGUGCUGCUUGAGCAGGCUUGAAGUGCUUUGUGGAGAAAAGGCUCCAGAAGGAAGUGUAUCAGUAGAGCAGCUAUGUCAGAUAUGGUGCUGUGGCCUCCUCCAGUAGUAUGUCCAAUGGCUUGCCUUGUUUUCUGCUUGUUUCCAUUCAACAGCAUCUGUGGUUUGUACCAAUGGCAUGGGUUUGUGCUUUGUGCUACAAAUUACAGCUCUCACUUUUAUAUGGAGCUGGUAAAGCCUGGUCCAGUUUGAGCACUUACAGCAGCCAGGCUGAGAAUAUAGAUCUUUAUGGGGGCCCACUCCUGUUGUUUGGUUGCAACACUGCUUCACUCUUAAGAGCACUGGAUCAUAUUGGAUAAGCUGCCUGAUGCUCAGAGUUUUCAGAGCCGUGUUCCCCUGUGUAAUGUUCUGCGGGAAAAUGAAAUUCCAAUUACGGUCUUUAGUCCUGACUGAGGGAAGAAGGCAGCAAAGAGUUGGGCUCCAAAGCAGGGGUCGAUACUGGCUCCAAAGCUGACCUCAACAGCCUGGAAAUCAAUUGAGAGAGCAAGCUUUAAUGCAUUAGCAACCUGUCACAUCGGCUUCCUGCGCAGGGCUUUGGCAACAUAAUAAAAUAUUAAUACUGACUUUAA